UGUGGCCCCUGGGCCCCCAGCAGCCCCGGGCAGCCCCGGAGGAUGGUGAGCUUGUCGGCCUCCAGCCCCAGCACCUUCACUUCUGCAGAGAAGCGCAGGCGCCCGUAAGGGUGAGGACCUGGGCCGCUGCCCCCCCUCGUUCCCCUUUCGAGGGACCUGCCACCGUGGGUACCCGGCCUGGCAGAUGGCUGUGCCCGGGCCGCCUGCCUCAGCUGGAGGGCCAGCCUGGAGGGGAGGCGGUCCCGCCUCUGCUGAGCCUGUGGUCGGUCCUCCCCCAGGUGAUGGGCCCGGCCUCGGGGUCCACCUGCCCCCCGGGAACCCCGCUCCUCAGGCUGUGUGUCCUCGGGGAGUCACUCAGCCCCUCUGGGCUCUGUGCCCGGCUGCAGAGUGAGAGCAGAGGGAGGCUUUGGGGGGUCAGAGUGGCCGAUGCAAAUGUGUGAGACCUUAGGAAGAGCUCCCCCCACUGCGGCCCGUCCAGUGAGUGCAGCCUCCGCAUCUGUGAGACAGCGGGGGGCGGGGGCAGUGCCGCGUGUCACCCCCAUUCCUCGGGCACGUGGCCUGGGAAUCCCGGGCUGGAGGGUGCGGAGGGUGGGGGUCCCUGUGAUCCGAGGACACACGGCAGCCCCCGCAGAAGUGGAGCCAGAGAUGGACCUGCCUCUCAGAGGUCAAGUGCGUCCAUCACAAAUACACGGCCUCUAGGGAGGGUGUGGGGACCCGGAAACCCGCCGCCUCCCGGUCCCCCGCUGCCGGUUUUCAGGGGCCCCCUCUCUGCUCUGCCCACCCCAGAAGCUGCCUCCAUCCGUACGUCGUCACCUUGGCGGCCGGUCUGUGGUCAGUAUAAUCUCUCCCCAGCUGUGCCCAGUCCACCGGCUCAGGACCCAGAGGGAGGCCCCGCUCCCAUUUGGACCCGAGUUUCCUGAAUUGGACUCUCUGCAGUUGGGGCCCGAAACUAGAAUUAACCAUCCCCCAGGAGGCGGGGAGCCCCUGGAUUAGAGAGUCUUUGGGCGUCUCCGGGGAAGCCCUGAGAAUACGGGGGCGAAGGGCUUUUCCUCUUCCCAUGGCCAGGCAGCCCUGGCCUUGCUCUGUGGGGCCACCCCAGGCUUGAGGGUCAGACAGGCCGCCGUGGACCCCUCUCCUUCCACCCGUGUGACCAUGGCCAGCUCCCCGCCUGAGGCUAAGCCGGGCAGCGGAGCAUCUUGGGAAAGAGGCGCGUGGAGGUGGGACACGCGUGGAGGUGGGACCGCCCGCGCUGUGCGGGCUCAGUGGGUGGCAUUGGCGGCUGCCAGAGACCAGAAGGCUCCGGUC